UGGCGGCACUAGCGCGGUGGUCCCACCUGACCCCAUGCCGAACUCAGAAGUGAAACGCCGUAGCGCCGAUGGUAGUUGGGGUUCCCCAUGUGAGAGUAGGGAACUGCCAGGCA
rnacentral:rRNA from 1 species